rnacentral:snRNA from 1 species
AUACCUUUCUCGGCCUUUUGGCUAAGAUCAAGUGUAGUAUCUGUUCUUAUCAGUUUAAUAUCUGAUAACGGGAACCUACGGGUUCCCGGCGGGUGAUCCUAUAUGUUUGCCCGCCCAGAUGUUAAUUUAUUUAAAGGGGAAGGACCCGUUAGGUGUUCCUUCUGUGUUGCCCUUGCUUUGCACUAUCGCAAGAGCUUAGCACACCCACC